rnacentral:rRNA from 1 species
AUUGAACGCUGGCGGUAUGCCUAACACAUGCAAGUCGAACGAGGUAGCAAUACCUAGUGGCGGACGGGUGAGGAAUACGUAGGGAUCUGCCCUUAAGUGGGGGAUAACCCGGGGAAACCCGGAUUAAUACCGCAUGAUCUCGCAAGAGCAAAGAGGGGGACCGCAAGGCCUCUCGCUUUUGGAGGAACCUACGUCGGAUUAGCUAGUUGGUGAGGUAAUGGCUCACCAAGGCGACGAUCCGUAACUGGUCUGAGAGGAUGAUCAGUCACACCGGAACUGAGACACGGUCCGGACUCCUACGGGAGGCAGCAGUGGGGAAUAUUGGACAAUGGGCGAAAGCCUGAUCCAGCAAUACCGCGUGUGUGAAGAAGGCCUUCGGGUUGUAAAGCACUUUAAGUUGGGAAGAAAAAGCUUCACCUAAUACGUGAAGCCUUGACGGUACCGACAGAAUAAGCACCGACUAACUCUGUGCCAGCAGCCGCGGUAAUACAGAGGGUGCUAGCGUUAAUCGGAUUUACUGGGCGUAAAGCGUGCGUAGGUGGUUUGAUAAGUCGAUUGUGAAAGCCCCGGGCUUAACCUGGGAAUUGCGGUCGAUACUGUCAGACUCGAAAACGGUAGAGGGAGGUGGAACUCCAGGU